GUAAGGAAUAUUGGUCAAUGGACGCAAGUCUGAACCAGCCAUGCCGCGUGGAGGAUGAAGGCCCUCUGGGUUGUAAACUUCUUUUAUUUGGGAAGAAAUGUGAUUAUUCUUUAUCACUUGACGGUACCAGAUGAAUAAGCACCGGCUAACUCCGUGCCAGCAGCCGCGGUAAUACGGAGGGUGCAAGCGUUAUCCGGAUUUACUGGGUUUAAAGGGUGCGCAGGCGGAUAUGUAAGUCAGUGGUGAAAUCUUUGGGCUUAACCCGAAAAUUGCCGUUGAUACUAUAUAUCUUGAAUGCUGUGGAGGUAAGCAGAAUAUGUCAUGUAGCGGUGAAAUGCUUAGAUAUGACAUAGAAUACCUAUUGCGAAGGCAGCUUACUACGCAGAUAUUGACGCUCAUGCACGAAAGCGUGGGGAUCAAACAGG
rnacentral:rRNA from 1 species